UUAUUAUUAUUAUUUUGCUGUUAUUAGUAUGAAUUUUGUUUGAUGGGAGGCUGGUUGAGUGUGGAAAAGAUUGUAUGGGUCCUUUGUAUUUGAAGGAAGAUUUUCAUAAAAUUCCAGUAUUUUUUUGCAAGUAAUUACUUUUGUGUGUUUGAGCAUUGUACUAUUGUUUCUUGCCAUUUCCAUUCUUAUUUUUGUGUUAUUUGAGGCCAAGCUAUACAUAUUUCUUAGUAACGUACCAGCAAUUAUGUUUCCAUAAUCUUAAUAACUUGCAAAGAUGUGUUGCAAUUACUCUGAACUUUAGUAUUGUAUAAUAUUUCAAUCAGUUGAAUAUAUUUUCAAAUUUUAGUAUCAGAUUCUUUUGGGGAUGUGAGCAAUCUAUAUAAAUCCUUUGUUUCCCUUUUAGAUUGUGAAAGAAAAGGGGAUACUGGAACUUUCGUGACCUUUGAUAAUCAAUACAUUUUGGAAAGCAGUUUUUUCCGUUUCUUAUUACUUGAUGUGGAAGUGGUACUCAUAACAAGAUUUUUUACCAUAAUGUUUAGCUUCAUAGUUGUGCAUAUUUCAGUUGAUCCUCUCUUUUGCUCAUCUUCUGCAGAAAUGGAUGAGUUUGGGAAAUGGGUUGUCUGAAUCCAAAGCUAAAGACUUGAAAAGAAGGAGAUUUGAGUAGUUGGAGCGUUUCCCAAAAGUUUGAUUCACGAAAUUCAGUAUCUUACUAGCUUAUUCAUGAAAACGUUUUUAUGAAAUGUUAUUACUGCUUCUGAGUAAGCCUUUGUUUGGAGCAGGUUGGAAAGGCUCGAGGUGUUGUGGUGUCAAUAGAAUUGUGCUUUUCCCCAAAGUUUCAGAUGCUUUGAAAGAAAAGGGUAUGAAACAAUCGCAGAAUGCAACAACCGCCGCCAAUUGGAAGGGUUCUUUGUUUCUGGACUCUAGCUUUACUUUUGCUUUAACUUUCAAAUCAUCAAAUAAGCUUACGUAGAGACAUGAGUUCAGCCUGAAUAGAAAUAUCCUAAUAUUGAUUUUGGUUUGAUUUUUGUUUCCU